UAGGGAAUCUUCGGCAAUGGGGGGAACCCUGACCGAGCAACGCCGCGUGAGUGAAGAAGGCCUUAGGAUCGUAAAAUCCUUUGAUUGGGGACGAAUAAAUGUGUAAGUAACUAUGCACGUCUUGACGGUACCUAAUCAGAAAGCCACGGCUAACUACGUGCCAGCAGCCGCGGUAAUACGUAGGUGGCAAGCGUUAUCCGGAAUUAUUGGGCGUAAAGCGCGCGUAGGCGGUUUUUUAAGUCGGAUGUGAAAGCCCACGGCUCAACCGUGGAAGGUCAUUGGAAACUGGAAAACUGGAGUGCAGAAGAGGAAAGUGGAAUUCCAUGUGUAGCGGUGAAAUGCGCAGAGAUAUGGAGGAAAACCAGUGGCGAAGGCGACUUUCUGGACUGUAACUGACGCUGAUGUGCGAAAGCGUGGGGAUCAAACAGG
rnacentral:rRNA from 1 species